rnacentral:rRNA from 1 species
GACGUAGGGCGCGAGCGUUGUCCGGAUUUAUUGGGCGUAAAGAGCUCGUAGGCGGCUUGUCGCGUCGAAUGUGAAAACUCGGGGCUCAACCCCGCGCUUGCAUUCGAUACGGGCAGGCUCGAGUUCGGUAGGGGAGACUGGAAUUCCUGGUGUAGCGGUGAAAUGCGCAGAUAUCAGGAGGAACACCGGUGGCGAAGGCGGGUCUCUGGGCCAUUACUGACGCUGAGGAGCGAAAGCGUGGGGAGCGAACAGG